AUGAGGGUUUUACAAGGGGAAUAUAUACUAUAAUGAAUGGUGAAGGCUUGUCAACCCAAAGUUUUGAUCCUUGGAAAGGAUUGAUUCUUUCCAAGAAUAAGGAGAGAGCCGUGAAUCUCUUGAUAUCUUUUCCUUCGGUAGACGAUUGAUUUAACAAGUUUUUUCGUUGAUUGUUGGACCUUCCAAACACUAUCAUUGUUUAGAUCUUCUAGCAUUUUUUAUUCUUCUGUGAUUUCGCUAAUCACUAAUCUCCUUGUUCCUUGAUUAUUGUCGCUCCGUUAUUUAAUGAUACUGUUGAUUUGAUUUUCCAAUUUUACGGAGCUAAUCCUGAUUUUCUGAUGCAGUUUUAUAGCUUUCCUUGUACAUCGAGUUAUUCUGGCAACUUCCUUUGCGAGUGAGUUCUUCCCCUGUUCGAUACAGUGCAUUCCACCAGUUCUUCUUUACUUCUUUGAAUUCCUGCACAUGUAUAAUUGCAUCAUUAAAACAUGAUCUAACAAUCUCCCCCUUUUUGAUGAUGGAAAAAUAAUAUAUGUGAAGAAGUAAACAACAGUUGACUUCCUUGUGUGUUACCAGUCGACUUGGCUCCCCUUCAAUAUCUGCAGUCAACUUGACUUGACUUGAUCUCCCCCUCAACGUGUGCAGUCGACUUG
rnacentral:lncRNA from 1 species